UUUGGUCCAAAUUCCCCCAUUUUUGGGGCUCAUUUUGCCCUGAUUUUUGGGCUGAAUUCCCCCCUUUUCGGGUCCAAUUUUUGGGGUGAGUUCCCCCAUUUUCAGGUCUAAUUUUUGGGCUGAAUUCCCCCCUUUUUGGGGCCCAUUUUUGGGCUGAAUUCCCCCCAUUUUCGGGGCACAUUUUGGGCUGAAUUCCCCCAUUUUGGGGGCUCAUUUUGGGCUCAUUUUUGGGGUGAAUUCCACCCUUUUGAGGUCCGAUUUUUGGGCUGAAUUCCCCCCUUUUCGGGUCAGAUUUUUGGGCUGAAUUCCCCCCAUUUUUAGGUCCGAUUUUUGGGCUGAAAUCCCCCCUUUUUGGGGCCCAUUUUUGGGCUGAAUUCCCCCCUUUUCGGGGCUCAUUUUGGUCUGAUUUUUGGGCUGAAUUCCCCCCUUUUCGGGGCUCAUUUUUGGGGUGAAUUCCGCCGUUUUUGGGCUCACCGUUCUCCCCUUUCUUGAAGUAGGCCCACAGUUUGUCGGCCCGUUUCUGGGGGCUGUUCUCGUCCUCGGGCAGCAGGCGCCGCUCCUCCUCCGGGAUCAUCUUAAAGAUGGCCUAUGGGGCAGCCCCACUGCGACCCAUAAGUGCUGCCCCAUAGCGACCCAUAGCUGCCCCACAGCUGCCCCAUAGCUGCCCCGUAGUGCCCCAUUGCUGCCCCAUAACUGCCCCACAGUGCCCCCAUAGGCUCCUCUAGGAUCAUCUUAAAGAUGACCUGUGGGGCAGCCCCACUGCGACCCAUAAGUGCUGCCCCAUAGCGCCCCAUAGCUGCCCCACUGCUGCCCCAUAGCUGCCCCAUAACCGCCCCACAGUGCCCCCAUAGGCUCCUCCGGGAUCAUCUUAAAGAUGGCCUGUGGGGCAGCCCCACUGCGACCCAUAAGUGCCGCCCCAUAGCGCCCCAUAGCUGCCCCAUAGCCGCCCCAUAACCGCCCCACAGUGCCCCCAUAGGCUCCUCUGGGAUCACCUUAAUGCUGGCCUGUGGGGCAGCCCCACCGCGACCCGUAAGUGCCGCCCCAUAGCGACCCAUAGCUGCCCCACAGCUGCCCCAUAGCCGCCCCAUAACUGCCCCACAGUGCCCCCAUAGGCUCCUCUGGGAUCACCUUAAUGCUGGCCUGUGGGGCAGCCCCACCGCGACCCAUAAGUGCCG
rnacentral:lncRNA from 1 species